AAGUCGUAACAAGGUUUCCGUAGGUGAACCUUCGGAAGGAUCAUUACUGAAAGUGCCGCAAGGCACGCUUCACCCACCCUUGUUUUUGAGCACCUUUGUUUCCUCGGCAGGCUCGCCUGCCAAUGGGGACUACCAAAACACCUUGCAGUAAGCAGUUUCUGUUCAGAUAAAAGCAAACAAUCAAAACUUUCAACAACGGAUCUCUUGGUUCUG
rnacentral:misc_RNA from 1 species